GCAUCUUGAGGUGACAUUCAAAAUGAAUAAAUAAAAUAAUGUACAAGUUUCAACAGAUAUAAUGAUAUGCUGUAAAGAUAAAACAUUCACUAACAAAAUGGUGAUGACCUUUGAACAGGUGUUCUUUACCAGGAAUGGAAAGACAAUAGGGAAGAAAGAAGUGUGUAUACCUAAAGGAGGAUUCUACCCCACUAUAGGAAUGUUGAGUAGUGAAGAGAAGGUGAAAGUGGAUCUCCAUCCCCUUACAGGGUGACAGAAGUGUACUUUAGAAACUGGUGUGUGGUUGGAGUUGCUAACUUGAAUGGAUGUUUAGUAUAGACAGUUUAUGAAGAAAAAUAUGUAUUUCAAGAUUCUUGUGUAACUGUCAUGAUUUUUCUUCAGUCAUUUCUUGUUGUCUGUGAACCUUAUAUACUAGAUCGGUAGAUUUAAUUGUGUGAAUUUAUUAUAAUCUCUCAUUUGCAUUGGAGACAGUUGUGUGGUGUAUUAUUUUGGUUUUGUACAAAUGUAUAAACUGGAUAUAAAUGAGAAAAGCAGAGCUGAAUGAAAGUGUACAGUGCCUAAAGCUGUUCUUUUAAAAUCUUUCUAAAUCUAGUAGCUUAAUUUUCUUUCAUCUUAUGAAAAGAAUAAAAUAAUUUGCUUAAUGAAAUCAUACUUCGUACAUACUUGGUAAAACAACAGUUUAGGUAUUUGGUAGUUCUUAAAAAUUUUGCUUUGUUUUUCUAUCACUAAUUUGUAUUGAUUCAAAUCUGUGUAUAUUACAUGCAUAUUAAAUUUUUUUGAGUCAGAUAUAUUAAUUGAUUGAGAACCAUUGCUUGUUUUUAAGGGCUGUAGUCUGAAAUAGUUUGACUUUACUUUUCUCUCCUUCACAAAGGAAGAGCAAUUUACUGUAAGAUUUCUUCAGAUUUUAUGGCUUAUAAAUCCUUGAAACAUUAGCAUAUUUGUAAAAUAGUUACUACAACCUAUUCAGUUAAUCUGAAGUACUUUUAACAGGAAAAGAAAAAGAACUUUGUAAAACUAUUGCUGAGCUCCUUUAUAAGUUAAAUAUGCUUUAUAGAUUGGGGGUAUUCCAAUAAAAGACAAAUUAUAAUUGAUUUAAUUUUAACUUUUAAAUACCUUGAAUUAAUGUUUGUUCAUUAGGGAUGUAAUGGGGAACUUGUUACAAACUAAGAAAACUAUUAAAUACCACUAAAUGAAAGUCAAUCAAAAACAAAAGAUAUUGCCAUGAUAAAAACAUAAAGAUAUUGCCAUGAUAAAAACAUAAAGAUAUUGCCAUGAUAAAAACAUAAAGAUAUUGCCAUGAUAUAAACAUAAAGAUAUUGCCAUGAUAAAAACAUAAAGAUAUUGCCAUGAUAAAAACAUAACGAUAUUGCCAUGAUAAAACAUAACGAUAUUGCCAUGAUAAAACAUAAAGAUAUUGCCAUGAUAGAAACAUAAAGAUAUUGCUAUAAUAAGCUGUGUAAUAUAAACAGAAAAUAACUUUUUUUUUAUGUAAAAUUGUGGAUACAAUAAUCAAAAAGAUUGUUUCAUUAUCAAAUCUUUCAGACAUGUUCAUUUCUCUCAAUUAGGCAAGAAAACAGUUAUUGUUCUAACAUAAUGAAGUUUAAAAUAAUCAUUGUAAUAUCUUGUUUCAGAAAGCUUUUUUUUUAAUUGUAAGAUUAUCUCAGUUUAUUGGUUUAUUUAGUAGAUAAUCUAUUUCUAUUCUUGGUAUAGUCCACUUUAAAAACUAUUAAUAUAACAUAAUAAACAAACAGAAAACUCUGAUCAAGGCCACACAUUUUAUUUGUAAAAUGGAUACUACAGAAUAUUCUUAUCAUCAAAUUACAGUUUUGUCUCUGAAGAACUGAUAUAAGAUAUUCAGUCUCUGAACAACACUAUCAUAUAUAUUGAUGUUGUUAUUUUUAAAUUAAAGUUUUUGGUGUUAUAUUGUUAGGUAUCUCUUCAACUUAGAAAAAAGAAAUGAAUUACAGAAACACGGCACUUGGCUGGUCACACUUUGCAUUUAAACUUGAUGAAAUUCCAAGAAAUGUGACGAAACUUUAGAUGCCACCACAAGCACUGUGUCUGUCCAUCAUCACACUUCAUGCAUGCAAAGUGGCCAGGCAGUGAUGUUAUUUUCCUUCAGCCAAUCACAGAACAGUUUAUAAUGUAAUAGCGUUGGUAUGAACUGUGUGUUACUAUUAAGAGAAAUUACAACAAGACCUAAGUAUCAGAACAAUAUUUUUAUUCAAUGUGAUGUUUUUCACAUUAUAAAAACAAAUAUUUGCAUAUUUUGUGGCAAAGUAUUAAUUUUAAUUGUGUGUAUUACAUAUUUGUUUUGAAAUUAUUAAACAAGCUAUCCAAGUGAAAAAUAAAAAUAAGGAUUUGAUUCGUGUAUAUUUUUUGUUUGUACUUAAUAUCCUUAUAAAUUUGGAAGUUAAAGCAAAACUUAGAAAAACUGGACACUAUAAAUAGAAAAAUUAGUAACAAAUUUAAAAUGUGUACAAAAAUAUACAUAUAUAUAUAUAUAUAUGGAAUUCUUAUUUUGGAUUACUCCUAGUUUGUAGUUUUGUCAGUUUUUGGCUUGCAUAUUUAAUUAGUCACAGUUUUACCAUUGUCAGUAAGAACAUUGAAGGGAUUAUGCAUGAAAGGCUUUCUUUGAUCUAAUGUACACAAGUUUUCAGUCUGAUAAAGGAUUUGGCAGGAAAAAUGACUUGGCAACAGAAAUCCAUAGGAAGCCUUGCAAGAAAACAUUAUUAUGGUAUUGAAUAUUUCUGAGUUAAAUGCUAUGAAGGAACUUGAAAUUUAUGUGAUCUUUGGGUCUUUUUUUUUUAAUUCAUUAAUGUUAUAUGAUAUAUUUUUGAAAUAGUACUUGUAGUUUUGUUAUGUAAUAUGUUUGCAUGGAUACAAAAUUCUAUUAAAUUGUGAUUAAGUCUUAAAAAUUAAGACAUAAUGAAAUGGAAUUAAGGUUUCAUAUAUCUCUAUAAAAGAAACUUAGUUGUAUAGUUUCUAUUUGGGUUGUGCUUAGGUCACAAAGGCAAGGUUUGAAAAUGUGGAAGCAUGAAGUAAACAUUUUAAAUAGUAGCAAUAAAAAAUCAUUCUUAGAUUUUGUUGUAAGAAGAAAAUGUUUGAGAAUUUUAAGUUUUAUAUUUUUCUACAGUUAAUGAUUUCAUGCUUCACUGUUUUAUUGGAUUUUUUUACCCAUAAUUCUUGCUCUUCUGGUUCAGGAUUAUAAUGUUGUAAUAUAUAUAUAUAGAUACCUUAAAAUUGUAUGAUAUUCAAGCAAGUUACUGUUUCUCUCCUGAGAUGUUGAACAUUUCUAUCACAUUUUAAAUCAUCCAUAAAAAAAUACUGGUCCAAGAAACAGUUUCAUAUGAAUCACACAUAAAAGUAAUGUCAGCCACUAACCCUAAAUAUGUAAACUCUAAACUGAUUGAUGAAAUGUGGGAAAGGACCUUUUAUGAUAGAAACUUAGUUCUGAUGGAAGGUAAAUUAUUAUAUGCUUUAAAAAGAGCUUGAGUUUACACAUAUCAAGAUGUGAUAUGUAUGAAGGAACUGAUUAAUUUGUUCGCAUGAUUAAACUUCGUAAGUUCAGAAUGUCUUCCUAAAAUUUGAAUGUUUCCCAAAAGAACACAGUUUAAUAUCCUGUUUCAAGUAUGAAUGUCAGAAAAUAGCAUCCACCUUUUAUAUUUGUUGGACAUAAAACUAUUUUAGUUUCUAAGAGUAUACUCUUAGAAACUAAAAUUAGCUUGCUUAUACUUGUCCUGAGUAAAUAAAAAACUUAGCUUAUUCUUCCUAUUUUGAAUGUUAGACUUCUUGUUAUGUGUAUUACUGGUUACUUUCAAUCGUUAGACUUCUUGUUGUGUGAGUGUGUAUUAUUGGUUACUUUCAAUCGUUAGACUUCUUGUUGUGUGAGUGUGUAUUAUUGGUUGCUUUCAAUUGUUAGAUGUUGUGUGUGUGUGUGUAUAUUAUUGGUUACUUUCACUCGUUAGACUUCUUGGUGUGUGUGUGUAUUAUUGGUUACUUUCACUCGUUAGACUUCUUGGUGUGUGUAUUACUGGUUACUUUCAAUCAUUAGACUUCUUGUUGUGUGAGUGUGUAUUAUUGGUUACUUUCACUCAUUAGACUUCUUGGUGUGUUAGUGUGUAUUAUUGGUUACCUUCACUCAUUAGACUUCUUGGUGUGUUAGUGUGUAUUAUUGGUUACUUUCAUUCGUUAAACUUCUUGGUGUGUGAAUGUGUAUUAUUGGUUACUUUCAUUACCUUGUAGAUAUGGUUUUGUAAUAUGAAUGUUUCCAACCAGAUGUUCCUAAUUAACAUUACUUGUGGCUGUUAAUUAAUGUUUUAUUUUUAAUGAGGUUUUGUGAAUCAAACUACCAAAAAUUACUAUGUCAAAAUUUUGAACUCGUGUUUUACCAUAAAUCUAAAAGUAUUAUUAUUGUAAAUUACAUACUUAUGAAAGCUUGUGGCACUUACCUAUACCUCCAUACCUAGUCAUUUUGACAGAGAGAAUGACAGUUGAAUAUCAAAAUUGGAGAAAUGGUUUUGAUUUCCUUUUUUUGUGUGUGACAACAAAACUAAACAAGAAAGAUAUUCGAGAAGUUGUCGUAAUUUUUUGACAUAAAUUACUAUUCUGUAUCAUUUCUUUAGCUUACAAGUAUUGUUAAAGUAUAUCACUGGUGGGAAGAUUUACUUGUAUAAACAGACGUACAUGUAUCUAUGCAUGAAAAUUGCUUUUAGUGAAAUUGUAUUUUGCAUGUUGUAUUGCAAACUGAUUGCCCUGUAAGCUGCACCAGUUCAGUCAUUCAAUCAUUUCACAUGUUACUUUCAUAUCCCUGUGUUUAGAAAUCAGUUGUUAUUUUUGGUGUUAAAGAGUAGUGAUAAUUAGUGUUGUCUGCACUGGUGAAAAGAUUUUGUUGAAAUUCCACAAUGUGAAGUGAUAGCUUCAGAAUAAAGAUUUUAAACUUAGAUAAAAGUAAAUAAAAACUUUGGGAAACAUUUUAUAAUAGAUUAAGAUGAGUUUUGUAUAUUAAUGUUUCCAAAGGUUGCUCUUUUCUACUCUUCAGUUACACACACUACCAGUGUUUAUAAUGUUUUUACAACAGUGGUUAUCUGUGAGCAGUAAGCAGUUUCCAAUGUGUGUGUGUGUGUAUGCUAGUAAAUUACAAGAAGUGUAAUGGAUGUUUUAAAAUAUGCAAGCACUAACCAUUAAUGAUCUGAAAUAUGACAAUAAAUAUAAACCUUUUUAUUUAAUUCUAGAUAAACAAUUAACCACUGUUGUAGCACCAGAUACGGAUAGUGUGUAAUCCUAUGAAGAUUGAAUUUUUUUGAGAUGCUGUUUCCCCUUCCUUACAAAAAUUAGAAUUUGUUUCUCAAAAAGGGUUUGGAAUAUUAAUCUCCAUUGCAUAGCUAUGGUAGGUCUAAAUCCUACAAAGUACUUAUGGACAAGGAUGUAGUUGUGUAUUUAGUUAUAUACAUAUGUGAGGUCUUAUUGUUAGAUAUGCUUUACACUUUUAUCAAUCUAUGUACAUCAAAAAACUGAAAAUUUAAAGCUGAUAAUGAAAUAGUUGAUGAAUUAAAUAAAAUAUAAACAGAAAAGGAGAACUUUUUGUAUUUGUGGAUAAAGAUCAAGAGGGUUAUUAAAUAAAGAUUUUAUAUAUGUUGUGUUA